CCACCCUGGAGAGACAGCCUACAGCUCAGGGAAGUAAGGGAUGGGGGAAAGGCUGCAAGGAUACAUCUACUGAGACACUAAGGGACAUUGGGAGACAUUAUGGGCGACACUGAUACACUAAGGGACACUGGGAGACAUUAUGGCAGACACUGAGACACUAAGGGGCACUGGGAGACAUUAUGGCAGACACUGAGACACUAAGGGACAUUGGGAGACAUUAUGGCAGACACUGAGACACUAAGGGGCACUGGGAGACAUUAUGGCAGACACUGAGACACUAAGGGGCACUGGGAGACAUUAUGGCAGACACUGAGACACUAAGGGACAUUGGGAGACAUUAUGGCAGACACUGAGACACUAAGGGGCACUGGGAGACAUUAUGGCAGACACUGAGACACUAAGGGGCACUGGGAGACAUUAU